AAACUGCAACUGUGAGUCGGCCAAUAAGUCUUUGGAUUAUCCCCCUCCAACCUAUGUGAGAGUAGGUUGCAGAUUCCUUUUUUUGAAAAAAAAAAAAAAAAAAACAACGUUUGUAAGAAAAUCUUGCAGUAGAGAGCACUUUGCCACUUUGCUAUGGACAUCACCACCACCACUCAAGCUAAGAGAGGCUCCCCAAGACAACUCAGAAUAAGGGAAGUUGAGAGACUGACAUCUGCUUCCGCUCCAACUGCUGAGCUAUAGAAACGUAUAAACCUACCCAAUUCUGUCUCUGGAGUACAGUUUGAAGGAGUUUUUGGUAAAGCUUGACAUGUCCUCAGCGUUUUAGAUUGUAGAUGAGGAUAGAGACUGAUGACUGCUCCUACCUGAACAAACCUGUAGAGAGGAGACUGGUGUGGCAGCCCGACAUGGCAGGGAACUCACACAGUUCAAAGAGUGGAAUGUUAUCAAGGCAUUGCCUGAUGGGUCUGUCACCACACUCACUGGAGGGAAUUAAUCUAGGAAGAGGCAGGUUCCAGGGACUAUCAGCAACAUACCAAACCACAGCGAGAUAUCAAGCAUGACUCAGCUCCUGCCCACUGCAAUUACUCAGGACCUCUGCCCUUCAGAUGUGGGAAAAAGCCCAGCAGUGUCUUGCAGUAACUGCUGCUCAGGUCAGGAACAUGACCUAGGAAGUCCUUUGCUAAGGGGAGGCUCAAACUGGAUUUCAGAAGGCCCACCCGACCAGGAUGACUGAAACAAACUGUGGACUGGGUACCAAUCCAAAGGAUAAUAUUGUAGCAUCAGGAAUAAAAUAAAUUUCAACUCAAUAAGAAGCCUAACUUAUGCAUUUAAAAUGUUUGCAGGUGGAUAUUAGUGGUGAUCCUGGGCAAAGUUGGCGCUAGGCACAGGCACAGCUGUGCAAGGAGAUGGCAAAAGGGAAAAGUCCAAAAGGGGCACCAGCAUGUUCCAUAGUGUGCGAGAGAGGAAAAUGAAAACACCAUUUGCCAGGUGCCUGCCAAGGGAUAUACCUGGGCCUGCAGCUCUAGAGAUGUUCCUCUGAACAAAAUAGGAGCCAUCUAGGACAAGUGGUACCUGGCUAUGGCAAAGAGGAGGGAACUUAAGCCCAACGCGUCAGUAAAUGAUGGAUUUGAG
rnacentral:lncRNA from 1 species